rnacentral:rRNA from 1 species
AUGUCAACUAGCUGUUGGGUACAUGAAAGUACUUAGUGGCGCAGCAAACGCGAUAAGUUGACGCCUGGGGAGUACGGUCGCAAGAUUAAAACUCAAAGGAAUUGACGGGGGCCCGCACAAGCGGUGGAGCAUGUGGUUUAAUUCGAUGCAACGCGAAGAACCUUACCUACCCUUGACAUACAGUGAAGCUAGCAGAGAUGUUGGUGUGCCUUCGGGAACGCUGAUACAGGUGCUGCAUGGCUGUCGUCAG